AGAAAGGAAAGAGCUAAGGAGACAAAGUUAAUCACUCCUUCAGCUCCUCCAGUGUUGCCUUUUGUCUCACUUUGCAUGAUGUUCUCUCAAGAGUCAUAUGGAGAAAGUUUUCCUCCUCUGAGGCACAAUGUUGAUCCUAUACAAAAAUUGGCCUCCCGACCAUUCGUCAAGCCAUCCAAAGUUGAUGCUGAUAGUCAGUCAAAACUAUUAUCUCAAGAUGAAGAAGUUCUAAACUGGUAG
rnacentral:misc_RNA from 1 species